rnacentral:rRNA from 1 species
AACGAACGCUGGCGGCAUGCCUAACACAUGCAAGUCGAACGAGACCUCCGGGCUUAGUGGCGCACGGGUGCGUAACGCGUGGGAACUUGCCCUUAGGUUCGGAAUAACUCCCUGAGAGGGGUGCUAAUACCGGUUAAUGUCUUCGGACCAAAGAUUUAUUGCUUUGGGCUGGGCCCGCGUUGGAUUAGCUAGUUGGUAGGGUAAAAGCCUACCAUGGCGACGAUGCAUAGCUGGUCUGAGAGGAUGAUCAGCCACAAUGGGACUGAGGCACGGCCCAGACUCCUACGGAGCGCAGCGGUGGGGAAUAUUAUGCGAGGAGCGAUAGCCUAGUCCAGCAAUGUCGGGGGAGUGAUGAAGGCCGUAGUGUUGUAAAGCUCUUUUACCCGAGAUGAUAAUGACGGUACCGGGAGAAUAAGCACCGGCUAACUCCGUG